GAAAUGCGAUAAGUAAUGUGAAUUGCAGAAUUCAGUGAAUCAUCGAAUCUUUGAACGCACAUUGCGCCCGCCAGUAUUCUGGCGGGCAUGCCUGUCCGAGCGUCAUUUCAACCAUCAAGCCCCCGGGCUUGUGUUGGGGACCUGCGGCUGCCCGCAGGCCCUGAAAACCAGUGGCGGGCUCGCUGUCACACCGAGCGUAGUAGCAAUCACCUCGCUCAGGGCGUGCUGCGGGUUCCGGCCGUUAAACAGCCUUACAAAACCCAAGGUUGACCUCGGAUCAGGUAGGAAUACCCGCUGAACUUAAGC
rnacentral:misc_RNA from 1 species